AUAUCAAUAAGCGGAGGAAAAGAAACUAACAAGGAUUCCCCUAGUAACUGCGAGUGAAGCGGGAAAAGCUCAAAUUUAAAAUCUGGCAGUCUUUGGCUGUCCGAGUUGUAGUCUGGAGAAGUGUUUUCCGCGCUGGACCGUGUACAAGUCUCUUGGAACAGAGUGUCGUAGAGGGUGAGAAUCCCGUCUUUGACACGGACUACCAGUGCUUUGUGAUGCGCUCUCAAAGAGUCGAGUUGUUUGGGAAUGCAGCUCAAAAUGGGUGGUAAAUUCCAUCUAAAGCUAAAUAUUGGCGAGAGACCGAUAGCGAACAAGUACCGUGAGG
rnacentral:rRNA from 1 species